rnacentral:rRNA from 1 species
CCAGACUCCUACGGGAGGCAGCAGUGGGGAAUAUUGCACAAUGGGGGAAACCCUGAUGCAGCAACGCCGCGUGAGUGAAGAAGUAUUUCGGUAUGUAAAGCUCUCUCAGCAGGGAAGAAGAAAGACGGUACCUGACUAAGAAGCCCCGGCUAACUACGUGCCAGCAGCCGCGGUAAUACGUAGGGGGCAAGCGUUAUCCGGAUUUACUGGGUGUAAAGGGAGCGUAGACGGCUGUGCAAGUCUGAAGUGAAAGCCCGUGGCUCGAGCGGGGAAGUGCUUUGGAAACUGUAUAGCGUGAGUACUGGAGAGGCAGGCGGAAUUCCUAGGGUAGCGGUGAAAUGCGUAG